rnacentral:rRNA from 1 species
AUUGAACGCUGGCGGCAUGCCUUACACAUGCAAGUCGAAUGGCAGCAUGGGAGCUUGCUCCUGAUGGCGAGUGGCGAACGGGUGAGUAAUGCAUCGGAACGUGCCCCGAAGUGGGGGAUAAAGUAGCGAAAGUUAAGCUAAUACCGUAUAUUCAGUGAGCAGGAAAGCAGGGGAUUGCAAGUCCUUGUGCUUUAGGAGCGGCUGAUGUCGUAUUAGCCAGUUGGUGGGGUAAGGGCUAACCAAGGCGACGAUCCGUAACGGGUCUGAGAGGAUGAUCCGCCACACUGGGACUGAGACACGGCCCAGACUCCUACGGGAGGCAGCAGUGGGGAAUUUUGGACAAUGGGCGCAAGCCUGAUCCAGCCAUGCCGCGUGAGUGAAGAAGGCCUUCGGGUUGUAAAGCUCUUUCGGUGGGGAAGAAAUUGCCUGGGAUAAUACCUCAGGUAGAUGACGGUACCCGCAUAAGAAGCACCGGCUAACUACGUGCCAGCCGCCGCGGUAA